rnacentral:misc_RNA from 1 species
CGCACCUUGCACUCUCUGGUAUUCCGGAGAGUAUGCCUGUUUGAGUGUCAUGAAACCCUCAACCCUCUGGUUUUUUGACUAGGGGUGUUGGAUUUGGGCGUUGCCAUUAGCCUGGCUCGCCUUAAAAGCGUAAGUGGGAUUAGACGUAAUAAGUUUCGUCCACCCCCUCUAAUAAAACACCAUACUAUCAAUCUGACCUCAAAUCAGGUAGGGCUACCCGCUGAACUUAA